rnacentral:rRNA from 1 species
CCUACGUGAGGCAGCAGUGAGGAAUAUUGGUCAAUGGGCUUACGCCUGAACCAGCCAAGUCGCGUGAGGGAAGACUGCCCUAUGGGUUGUAAACCUCUUUUGUCAGGGAGCAACGCCGGCUACGUGUAGCCGGACUGAGAGUACCUGAAGAAAAAGCAUCGGCUAACUCCGUGCCAGCAGCCGCGGUAAUACGGAGGAUGCGAGCGUUAUCCGGAUUUAUUGGGUUUAAAGGGUGCGUAGGCGGAAUGCCAAGUCAGCGGUAAAAUCGCGGGGCUCAACCUCGCUCCGCCGUUGAAACUGGCGUUCUUGAGUGGGCGAGAAGUAUGCGGACUGCGUGGUGUAGCGGUGAAAUGCAUAGAUAUCACGCAGAACUCCGAUUGCGAAGGCAGCAUACCGGCGCCCAACUGACGCUGAAGCACGAAAGCGUGGGUAUCGAACAGGAGUAGAUACCCCAGUAGUC